rnacentral:rRNA from 1 species
AUUGAACGCUGGCGGAAUGCUUUACACAUGCAAGUCGAGCGGCAGCGCGGGGCAACCUGGCGGCGAGCGGCGAACGGGUGAGUAACAUAUCGGAACGUACCCAGUCGUGGGGGAUAACUAUCCGAAAGGAUAGCUAAUACCGCAUACGACCUGAGGGUGAAAGGGGGGGAUCGCAAGACCUCUCGCGAUUGGAGCGGCCGAUAUCGGAUUAGCUAGUUGGUGAGGUAAAGGCUCACCAAGGCGACGAUCCGUAGCUGGUCUGAGAGGACGACCAGCCACACUGGAACUGAGACACGGUCCAGACUCCUACGGGAGGCAGCAGUGGGGAAUUUUGGACAAUGGGGGCAACCCUGAUCCAGCCAUUCCGCGUGAGUGAAGAA